GCACUGGCCUGGGGUGUAGUUCUCUGCGUGAAGCCAUGAACACUAUGGGAGAGUUGCUAGAUACCCAAACUGAGCUUGGGGAGAAGUCUGCAACCUAUGACGUCAGAAAAGACGGGACACAGUCUGUGAGAAGUAACGGCAGAGAAAGAAGACGCAUCAGAGCACAUUUCGUGACCAGGCGCGGACAGAAGGAAGUUGGAGCCAUGUGUCAUGUCUUGUCUAAGAGGACUUUCCCGAAGUACAUUGAGACUCACGUGACGCAUGGGUAUGGACCUGGUCCUCAGGGACCUAGAGGGUGUUGGAGCCGGCAGCCUAAGCUGAGGACUUGA
rnacentral:lncRNA from 1 species